AGAUUGAACGCUGGCGGCAGGCCUAACACAUGCAAGUCGAGCGGCAGCACGGGUACUUGUACCUGGUGGCGAGCGGCGGACGGGUGAGUAAUGCCUAGGAAUCUGCCUGAUAGUGGGGGAUAACGUUCGGAAACGGACGCUAAUACCGCAUACGUCCUACGGGAGAAAGUGGGGGAUCUUCGGACCUCACGCUAUCAGAUGAGCCUAGGUCGGAUUAGCUAGUUGGUAGGGUAAAGGCCUACCAAGGCUACGAUCCGUAACUGGUCUGAGAGGAUGAUCAGUCACACUGGAACUGAGACACGGUCCAGACUCCUACGGGAGGCAGCAGUGGGGAAUAUUGGACAAUGGGCGAAAGCCUGAUCCAGCCAUGCCGCGUGUGUGAAGAAGGUCUUCGGAUUGUAAAGCACUUUAAGUUGGAGAAGGCAGUUACCUAAUACGUAUCUGUUUUGACGUUACCGACAGAAUAAGCACCGGCUAACUCUAGUGCCAGCAGCCGA
rnacentral:rRNA from 1 species